rnacentral:misc_RNA from 1 species
GGGUUGAUGUAUGCAGCUUUAUCCUUGCUGCAGAGAGGUUGUUCGCAUGGCUUGAACCUGUGAACUCCAUGUUACAAAUGGAGUAACUUUACACCAAAACCACCAAGAAUUUGAUCACCGUUCAUGCUAUUGAAAUGAAAAUUAUGAUACUAGAUUGUUUAAGUGUUUGAUAGUUGUUAACAGCAUGCUUCCUUUCAUCCAAAAAUAGGGAUCAAAGCUGGUACAAUAAAGAUAAUUGCAUAUCAACUUGAAGAGGGGAAAAGGUUGC